UGUGUUGGCCCAGCAUGGGCAGUUGGGGUUGUGUUUCUAUGACAGCAGAGACUUCACUCUGCACUACAUGCCUGACACCUCAGGCAACCACCAGCUCCAACUGUUGGCCAGAGUGGUCCAGGAGGUGAGCCCUCAUGUGAUCAUUACCAGUGCUAAGCAGGAACGCUGCAUGGUCCAGUUCAUGCAGGGACUGGGAGCCAACCCAGACUACAGGCCAGAGGUGGUGACCUAUCCCAAUGUGGACUUUGGU